rnacentral:piRNA from 1 species
UAAAUGCCUAAAACUUUGAAAUCAGACUGACU